CCUCUGCGGGCUGUGAGCUUCAGGAGGACGGGCUGCAGCCUCCUGUUCAGAGCCAGCCUGGGGCCUGAAAUGGAGCCUUGGAAGCAAAGCAGAGCGGGCCCUGGACCUCGCCAGCCAGGGGCUCAGCCCCAUGAGAGCCGCUGCAGGGCCAGCGAGAAGGGUGCCCCCGCGAGGACAGUCAUGGCGAGUCCUCCGCAAGGGCCUGCAGUCCCCUCUCCUGUGCUGUCGGGACCCGCUCCCAGGGAGGAAAGCGUUGGGGCCUGCAGCCGGAGCCCCCGACACGGACUCUGCCCCAGCAACGGCCAGGGUAGCGGCUCCCGUCGGGGCCCCCGGACGUGCGUGGCGGCCUCCUCCCCUUGCGGCACCCCCUCCUGGCGGCGGCGCCUCAGCCUGCAGCAUCGCUCCAUCUCCCCUGAGCCCUCCCGAGUCCCACAGGCUCUUCCUUGAUUGGUGAGAUGCCAGAAGCUUCUCUGGGGAGCAACCUCAGGGCAGGACAAUGAACCAGAGGCCAGGUCUGUCCCCAGGGUCCCAGGCGAGAGGACACAAGGGACCCAAGAGGGAGCGCACACCUCCUACCCUGGCUGUCUCGGCUGCUGUCUCCCACGUCCCCAGCAGACGGGCAGCACUGGGCGUGGGCUGCCCGCAGUGGCCGGGCUGCAGCACUCUUCUCCAGGGGCGCCUGGGGACGGCUUCAUGUUGAGACGCCCGCGUGGGACACCGCGCCGGGCUGUACAGAGAACACCUCCGUACUGCAGAAGGGUCCCCCACUAGCCCUGUGGACGACCAUCACAAGCUCGUCUGUCCUCCCGACCCACACACGGCCGUCUGUCCAACGGGAGUGAUGAUGACGCCCAGUUUUCAGGAGGCGGCCAUGAAGUGGUGGGCUGACAAACUGGGAGCAACAGCUCUGGAGGCAGGAGCUCAAGGUCAAGGUGGCAGCAGGCUGGCAAGGACCCCCUUUCUGGUCCUCAGAGGGCACCUCCUCACCAUGUGCUGACACCAUGGGAAGGGUGAGGAGCUCUCUGCGGUCUCUCUUACAAGGACACUGAUGCCCUCAGGGGGAUCCACACCUCACCUGCCAAAGGCCCCGCCUCCUAGCACCCCACCCCGGGCGUGGGGAGUCAAUGUGAACUGGGGGAGACCGUCUGCAGCAGCACGGCCUCUCCUUUCCGCCGGGUGCCUUCGCCAGGCACGCGCGCAUCUCCGCGGAGUCCUCAUCCUGCCGGCUGUCAGGAGCACGUCUGCUCGGUCGAGGGCCGAGGUGGGCUCGCCUGCAGCGCUCUCGCGGCCUGUCCUGCACUGAACUUCUCUCCGUCUGGGGUUCUUCCGAGUCCACAGCCACGGCUGCCUGACCCCCAUCAGGUCCAGGCUGGCGCGUCCCUCAUCCUCCAGCUGGCAGCCGACAGCAGAGGUGGUGCGGGACGCCUGAGGGCCAGCUCCCAGCCUGCAGCCCGUGCUGAGACGUCUCCCACCAGGCCUCCCCGGGUCCAACCACCUUUCCUCUUGAGUGACUUGACCCCAACAAGUGCUGGUCAACCCCAUUCCCUAAUGGCAACCAGCAAGCAGCCAUCUUGAAGGACUUCUUCAGGAUGGGUUACCAAAGACAGAUCUUAAAAGGCAAUCUCAAACUUCUCCCAAAGUCGCUGGGAGGGAACCCACUUUCAGAGGAGACUGCCCCAGCCCCCACGGUCAUGGGCCCCAGGGCUGAGCAGGACAGGAGCAGCGUUAUUUAUCCACUAAUUCAUUCUUGCUGUGACCACAGUUUCUCCAAAAUAAAUACUUCGAUGUAUUACCUAAGACAGACAUUUGGCUUUAUUCUUUUCCACAAAUUUAGACAAGAACAUCAUUGAUAUUCAGAGACUAGUACGUCGAUGGAGAUAUGAAAUAAAUCAAAGCAGGUUUGCAAUGGCUGUUGCCCGAGGAUUCUGAGACACGGGGCAUAAAGAAACACAGAUGCCAAGGCUGUGCCCGCCCUGAGCACAGAGGUAGCUGUUGUCUCGGCUGCCUUCUCCUUUAGUCUCAGAUCUUUUCUUUUUUUGCUGAGAAAGAUUCACCCUGAGCUAACAUCUGUGCCAAUCCUCUAUUUUGCACAUGGGACGCCACCACAGCACGGCUGAUGAGUGGAGUAGGUCUGUGCCCGGGACCUAAAGUCAUG
rnacentral:lncRNA from 1 species